GAUGAACGCUGGCGGCGUGCCUAAUACAUGCAAGUCGAGCGAACAGACGAGGAGCUUGCUCCUUUGACGUUAGCGGCGGACGGGUGAGUAACACGUGGAUAACCUACCUAUAAGACUGGGAUAACUUCGGGAAACCGGAGCUAAUACCGGAUAACAUGUUGAACCGCAUGGUUCAACAGUGAAAGACGGUCUUGCUGUCACUUAUAGAUGGAUCCGCGCCGCAUUAGCUAGUUGGUAAGGUAACGGCUUACCAAGGCAACGAUGCGUAGCCGACCUGAGAGGGUGAUCGGCCACACUGGAACUGAGACACGAUCCAGACUCCUACGGGAGGCAGCAGUAGGGAAUCUUCCGCAAUGGGCGAAAGCCUGACGGAGCAACGCCGCGUGAGUGAAGAAGGUCUUCGGAUCGUAAAACUCUGUUAUUAGGGAAGAACAAAUGUGUAAGUAACUAUGCACGUCUUGACGGUACCUAAUCAGAAAGCCACGGCUAACUACGUG
rnacentral:rRNA from 1 species